rnacentral:rRNA from 1 species
AGUGAACGCUGGCGGCAGGCUUAACACAUGCAAGUCGAACGCAUCCUUCGGGGUGAGUGGCAGACGGGUGAGUAACGCGUGGGAACGUGCCCUUCAGUUCGGGAUAACCCAGGGAAACUUGGGCUAAUACCGGAUACGUGCGAGAGCAGAAAGAUUUAUCGCUGAAGGAUCGGCCCGCGUCUGAUUAGCUAGUUGGUGGGGUAAUGGCCCACCAAGGCGACGAUCAGUAGCUGGUCUGAGAGGAUGAUCAGCCACAUUGGGACUGAGACACGGCCCAGAAUCCAAGGGGAGGCAGCAGCGGGGAAGAUUGCACAACUGGCGCAAGUCGGAUCCAGCCAUGCCGCGUGAGUGAUGAGGGCCUUAGGGUUGAAAAGCUCUUUCGUCCGGGACGAUAAUGACGGUACCGGAAGAAGAAGCCCCGGCUAACUUCGUGCCAGCCGCCGCGGUAA